ACGCUGGCGGCGUGCCUAAUACAUGCAAGUCGAACGAGUUCUCGUUGAUGAUCGGUGCUUGCACCGAGAUUCAACAUGGAACGAGUGGCGGACGGGUGAGUAACACGUGGGUAACCUGCCCUUAAGUGGGGGAUAACAUUUGGAAACAGAUGCUAAUACCGCAUAGAUCCAAGAACCGCAUGGUUCUUGGCUGAAAGAUGGCGUAAGCUAUCGCUUUUGGAUGGACCCGCGGCGUAUUAGCUAGUUGGUGAGGUAAUGGCUCACCAAGGCGAUGAUACGUAGCCGAACUGAGAGGUUGAUCGGCCACAUUGGGACUGAGACACGGCCCAAACUCCUACGGGAGGCAGCAGUAGGGAAUCUUCCACAAUGGACGCAAGUCUGAUGGAGCAACGCCGCGUGAGUGAAGAAGGCUUUCGGGUCGUAAAACUCUGUUGUUGGAGAAGAAUGGUCGGCAGAGUAACUGUUGUCGGCGUGACGGUAUCCAACCAGAAAGCCACGGCUAACUACGUGCCAGCAGCCGCGGUAAUACGUAGGUGGCAAGCGUUAUCCGGAUUUAUUGGGCGUAAAGCGAGCGCAGGCGGUUUUUUAAGUCUGAUGUGAAAGCCCUCGGCUUAACCGAGGAAGCGCAUCGGAAACUGGGAAACUUGAGUGCAGAAGAGGACAGUGGAACUCCAUGUGUAGCGGUGAAAUGCGUAGAUAUAUGGAAGAACACCAGUGGCGAAGGCGGCUGUCUGGUCUGUAACUGACGCUGAGGCUCGAAAGCAUGGGUAGCGAACAGGAUUAGAUACCCUGGUAGUCCAUGCCGUAAACGAUGAAUGCUAGGUGUUGGAGGGUUUCCGCCCUUCAGUGCCGCAGCUAACGCAUUAAGCAUUCCGCCUGGGGAGUACGACCGCAAGGUUGAAACUCAAAGGAAUUGACGGGGGCCCGCACAAGCGGUGGAGCAUGUGGUUUAAUUCGAAGCAACGCGAAGAACCUUACCAGGUCUUGACAUCUUUUGAUCACCUGAGAGAUCAGGUUUCCCCUUCGGGGGCAAAAUGACAGGUGGUGCAUGGUUGUCGUCAGCUCGUGUCGUGAGAUGUUGGGUUAAGUCCCGCAACGAGCGCAACCCUUAUGACUAGUUGCCAGCAUUUAGUUGGGCACUCUAGUAAGACUGCCGGUGACAAACCGGAGGAAGGUGGGGAUGACGUCAAAUCAUCAUGCCCCUUAUGACCUGGGCUACACACGUGCUACAAUGGAUGGUACAACGAGUUGCGAGACCGCGAGGUCAAGCUAAUCUCUUAAAGCCAUUCUCAGUUCGGACUGUAGGCUGCAACUCGCCUACACGAAGUCGGAAUCGCUAGUAAUCGCGGAUCAGCACGCCGCGGUGAAUACGUUCCCGGGCCUUGUACACACCGCCCGUCACACCAUGAGAGUUUGUAACACCCGAAGCCGGUGGCGUAACCCUUUUAGGGAGCGAGCCGUCUAAGGUGGGACAAAUGAUUU
rnacentral:rRNA from 2 species